UACAGGGGGGGCAAGCGUUGUUCGGAAUUACUGGGCGUAAAGGGCUCGUAGGCGGCCAACUAAGUCGGACGUGAAAUCCCUCAGCUUAACUGGGGAACUGCGUCCGAUACUGGAUGGCUUGGAUUUGGGAGAGGGAUGCGGAAUUCCAGGUGUAGCGGUGAAAUGCGUAGAUAUCUGGAGGAACACCGGUGGCGAAGGCGGCAUCCUGGACCAAUAUUGACGCUGAGGAGCGAAAGCUAGGGGAGCAAACGGG
rnacentral:rRNA from 1 species